CAUGCAGUCGAGCGGUAGAGAGAAGCUUGCUUCUCUUGAGUGCGGCGGACGGGUGAGUAAUGCCUAGGAAUCUGCCUGGUAGUGGGGGAUAACGUUCGGAAACGGACGCUAAUACCGCAUACGUCCUACGGGAGAAAGCAGGGGACCUUCGGGCCUUGCGCUAUCAGAUGAGCCUAGGUCGGAUUAGCUAGUUGGUGAGGUAAUGGCUCACCAAGGCGACGAUCCGUAACUGGUCUGAGAGGAUGAUCAGUCACACUGGAACUGAGACACGGUCCAGACUCCUACGGGAGGCAGCAGUGGGGAAUAUUGGACAAUGGGCGAAAGCCUGAUCCAGCCAUGCCGCGUGUGUGAAGAAGGUCUUCGGAUUGUAAAGCACUUUAAGUUGGGAGGAAGGGUUGUAGAUUAAUACUCUGCAAUUUUGACGUUACCGACAGAAUAAGCACCGGCUAACUCUGUGCCAGCAGCCGCGGUAAUACAGAGGGUGCAAGCGUUAAUCGGAAUUACUGGGCGUAAAGCGCGCGUAGGUGGUUUGUUAAGUUGGAUGUGAAAUCCCCGGGCUCAACCUGGGAACUGCAUUCAAAACUGACUGACUAGAGUAUGGUAGAGGGUGGUGGAAUUUCCUGUGUAGCGGUGAAAUGCGUAGAUAUAGGAAGGAACACCAGUGGCGAAGGCGACCACCUGGACUAAUACUGACACUGAGGUGCGAAAGCGUGGGGAGCAAACAGGAUUAGAUACCCUGGUAGUCCACGCCGUAAACGAUGUCAACUAGCCGUUGGAAGCCUUGAGCUUUUAGUGGCGCAGCUAACGCAUUAAGUUGACCGCCUGGGGAGUACGGCCGCAAGGUUAAACUCAAUGAAUUGAC
rnacentral:rRNA from 1 species